UUCUGGGAGGGAACUGGCCUAGAGGACUACGUUCCCGUUAUUUCCCCUUGGGGAUACCACAUGUUUUAUUUCUGUCUGGCGUCCCCAACGAAGCCACGGCCGGAUAAGAACACUCCGUGCAAAGUCGAAGUUGCUGUGGGGUCCAACUGAUAUCCUGUUUUACUAGGUCGUAAAAGAGAGACCACGAUUACGCAACAAAUCCACGUAACGAGCGGCCGAGUGAGCCCAUGCGGCAGUUCCAGCUACGCCCCUCACCGUCAUACCAUAACCAUUCCCAUGUGCAUGAGCUCUCAAUGCGCAUACUUCCUGGUGUUGUGAAGCGGUCGAAAUACAAAUGCCUGUGCACGGAGAGUGACAGUGUUCCGCGUAGAAGAUCUGCACUUUUUCUUUCGACGGAUCGGGGCACACACCAAAAAAUCGACGCAUUUUCACGGAUUUCGUCGAGCAACUGCACGGUACAGAGCUGCGUCAACAGUACUUACAGGACAGCACCGUUGCUAUACCUAGAACGGGUACAUGGCGCUAAUCCAAACUUUGUUUGACGACAGUAUCGUUUCCAUGAACUUGUGGCCACUGACAUCACUGGAUUUGUUGAGGAAACCUUUACUAACACCGCCUACUACUAACAGUUCCUACACAGGUUAUUACAAUAUAUAAUUUGUAAACACUA